rnacentral:rRNA from 1 species
CCCUUAGAUGUCCUGGGCUGCACGCGCGCUACACUGAUGUGUCCAGUAAGCACCUAACCUCUUCCGAAAGGAACGGGUAACCUUUGCAAAGCACAUCGUGAUGGGGAUAGAUUAUUGCAAUUAUUAGUCUUGAACGAGGAAUUCCUAGUAAGCACAAGUCAUCAGCUUGUGUUGAUUACGUCCCUGCCCUUUGUACACACCGCCCGUCGCUCCUACCGAUUGAAAGUUCCGGUGAGCUCUUCGGACUGCGCGGUCUGCAGUUUCUGCGUUCCGUGCGGAAAGUUGCGCAAACCUUAACAUUUAGAGGAAGGAGAAGUCGUAACA